GUCGGUGUAGCUCAGUAGGUUAGAGCGUGGGACUCAUAAGCCCAAGGUCAGUGGUUCGAUUCCACUCGCCGACA
rnacentral:tRNA from 1 species